rnacentral:rRNA from 1 species
GACGGAGGAUGCAAGUGUUAUCCGGAAUCACUGGGCGUAAAGCGUCUGUAGGUGGUUUAAUAAGUCAACUGUUAAAUCUUGAGGCUCAACUUCAAAAUCGCAGUCGAAACUAUUAGACUAGAGUAUAGUAGGGGUAAAGGGAAUUUCCAGUGGAGUGGUGAAAUGCGUAGAUAUUGGAAAGAACACCGACAGCGAAAGCAUUUUACUGGGCUAUUACUGACACUCAGAGACGAAAGCUAGGGUAGCAAAUGGG